UGGCAACCCCCCAUUCUGGCCACCCCUGGAUGUCGAGGGGAUCGUGGAAAGAAGAUGGAGGUCGGUACGUGCAGGAGAAGAUGCCUGGAGACCCCGAUCUUUGCUGGAGACUGCUGGAUCCUGGAACCUGGGAGUGUAGAAAAGGUUUCCAGUUAGAAGGCGUCUUUUGAAUUCUGUCCAGAGAAGCUCCCUCUCUUUAGUAGAUCCUUUCAUGAUGCCUCGGUUCUCCUGUGCUCUUCUAGACAGGUGUGCCUUAAUCCUUUUAAAAGUCACUUGGAAAGUGGUUCUGCAUUAAGUGCUUUAAUAGUGUAAAUUAGAGACCUUAGAGGUUUCAUCCAAAAGGUCAUCUCCAGUCUACCAUGUGAGGGUAAUGUGUUCAAGUUUCCAGCUCCAAGAAGCAGAAUUUUCUAGCCAGUGGAGGAGAAAGCUAAACUAAACCCUAAACAGAUUUCAACAGUUCUAUGGUCGCAACUGCAUUCCCACUAACAAAAUGUAUACACCAGAAACUUUUCAGCCAGUAUAUCUGCUAGUGAGAUGUUUCUUAAAGGGACAGUGACCAAGUUCUCACUUAUCUACUUAGAAAGGGUAACAUUCCACACAAGAGACUGAAUUGAAUUUGCAUAGAGCAUCAAUUUGUUGCCACGUUACACAAGUGUCUGGAUUUCCACACUACGGGGACGUCAUCAUUGACAAAAGAUUGCUUGGGCUUACAGGGGAACAUUAGGUUAUAAUACACACAGCUUUUAAUUGUGAUAAAAAAAAAUUACCCACUAUAAGUCUAUAAAAUACAGUACCAAAAUAUUCUUGUAUUUUACACUUUGUAGGAUAAUGGUGGUGCUUUUAAAAUAACCUGUUUUCUUGGAAUUGGGAUACAAAAUCUAUUUUUUCAGCAGCACCUGUGAAAUGAAGCUCAGCCAGUCUGCAGAAUUUCUCUUUUUGGCUCCGAUACCCAUAGCUAGCAGUACUGAAACUAAUCCAGAAGAUGUUAUUACUAAACUGUAAUAAGCCAUUCUCUGCAGGCUGUAAAGCAUAUGUCCUCAACUUCAACCAGAACGUAAAGCACGCCCUUGUUCCUGAUAAGUGGGCUACAAACGCUUGCUGCGCAUAUAAUAAUAAGCGCAAAUGGCACAUACAGCCGAUUAAAGGGUUAGAAUAGUGUUUUAUGGUCACACAGUGUUAAACUGUAACUGGAGUUUAUACAAAAAAUCACAGUAGUUGUAUACAGUAUUAGACUACUACAUUUCAUAGAAAGAUAGUUUAACACAGAUUAUUAAGUGAAUUUGGACACUUUAAAAAUAUAAAUUAUACACAUUUAGCUCAUGGAGUCAGCUUUGUAUUGUACUGUCACAGACAUCAAUGUUGUUUACAGCGAUUGACGCAUUAUUAACCCAAAGCUGAAAAGGUCUCGUCCUCUUUUCUCAGAAGUCUAUGUACACCCAGAUUUCCUCUUUUUACAUCUUUUAAAGGGGU